CUGGGUGGAUGAGUGGCGAACGGGUGAGUAACACGUGAGUAACCUGCCCCUUCUUUGGGAUAACGCCCGGAAACGGGUGCUAAUACUGGAUAUUCACUGGCCUUCGCAUGGGGGUUGGUGGAAAGGUUUUUUCUGGUGGGGGAUGGGCUCGCGGCCUAUCAGCUUGUUGGUGGGGUGAUGGCCUACCAAGGCUUUGACGGGUAGCCGGCCUGAGAGGGUGACCGGUCACAUUGGGACUGAGAUACGGCCCAG
rnacentral:rRNA from 1 species